UUUAACUGAAGAGUUUGAUCAUGGCUCAGAUUGAACGCUGGCGGCAGGCUUAACACAUGCAAGUCGAGCGGGGGAAGGUAGCUUGCUACCGGACCUAGCGGCGGACGGGUGAGUAAUGCUUAGGAAUCUGCCUAUUAGUGGGGGACAACAUCUCGAAAGGGAUGCUAAUACCGCAUACGUC
rnacentral:rRNA from 1 species